UGCGUAGGCGGUCGAGCAAGUCUGAUGUGAAAUCUUCGAGCUCAACUCGGAAACUGCAUCGGAUACUGUUCGGCUUGAGGAUUGGAGGGGGGACUGGAAUUCUCGGUGUAGCAGUGAAAUGCGUAGAUAUCGAGAGGAACACCAGUGGCGAAGGCGAGUCCCUGGACAAUUCCUGACGCUGAGGCACGAAAGCUAGGGGAGCAAACA
rnacentral:rRNA from 1 species